GUUUUGCGUGAGGGAUGGAAGCGGUAUACUUUUUCGUUUUCCAUCGGUAACAUCAGUGAAAUGAAAACGAAAAAGAUUUAGCGUACAGCCCGACCCCUU
rnacentral:sRNA from 1 species